rnacentral:rRNA from 1 species
GUGCUAAGGUAGCAAAAUCAUUUGUUUUUUAAUUGAAGACUGGAAUGAAGGGUUUAACAAACAAUGUGAUUUUAAAAGGAAUUAACUUUAAUUUUUAGUUUACUGUAAAAAUACAUAAUUAAUCAAAAGGGACGAUAAGACCCUAAAAGCUUUAUUGUUACGAUUUUUUUUUUAUUGUGGGUAGAUCAGAGGGUUAAAAUAGUUUGACUGGGGCAGUUGUUUUAUAAACAAAUAUUUUUUAUGACGAGUCGUUAUGAAGGGCCUUUAAAUGAGGACAAGUAGUUUAAGUUACUUUAGGGGUAACAGCAUAAUAGUGAUGGGGAGACCUUAUUUAUAUCAGUGUUUUUGACCUCGAUGUUGAAUUAAAUUUCUUUUUAAAGCAGAAAUUAAACUUGAGAGUUUGUUCAACUCUUAAAUUUUUACAUGAUC